rnacentral:rRNA from 1 species
AGAGUUUGAUCCUGGCUCAGGAUGAACGCUAGCGGCAGGCCUAAUACAUGCAAGUCGAACGGGCUGGAGUAGCAAUACUCCAGUUAGUGGCGCACGGGUGCGUAACGCGUAUGCCCUACCUUUUAUUGGGGGAUAGCCCGAAGAAAUUCGGAUUAAUACCGCAUAAUAUCAUUUGAGGGCAUCUGAGGAUGAUUAAAGCUACGGCGAUAAAAGAUGGGCAUGCGUGUCAUUAGCUAGUUGGUUGAGGUAACGGCUCACCAAGGCGACGAUGACUAGGGGUUCUGAGAGGAUGAUCCCCCACACUGGUACUGAGAUACGGACCAGACUCCUACGGGAGGCAGCAGUAGGGAAUAUUGGGCAAUGGCGGAAACGCUGACCCAGCCAUGCCGCGUGCAGGAUGAAGGCCUUCUGGGUUGUAAACUGCUUUUAUCUAGGAAGAAAAUACUCUUGCGAGAGGAACUGACGGUACUAGAUGAAUAAGCACCGGCUAACUCCGUGCCAGCAGCCGCGGUAAUACGGAGGGUGCAAGCGUUGUCCGGAUUUAUUGGGUUUAAAGGGUGCGUAGGCGGCUUCAUAAGUCCGUGGUGAGAGCCAACAGCUCAACUGUUGAACUGCCAUGGAUACUGUGAGGCUUGAGUACAGACGAGGUAGGCGGAAUGGAUCGUGUAGCGGUGAAAUGCAUAGAUACGAUCCAGAACUCCGAUUGCGAAGGCAGCUUACUAGGCUGUAACUGACGCUGAGGCACGAAAGCGUGGGGAGCGAACAGGAUUAGAUACCCUAGUAGUCC